AUGGCUCCUUCUUUUUUUUUUUUUAAUUUUUAUUUAUUUAUGAUAGUCACAGAGAGAGAGAGAGAGAGAGAGGCAGAGGCACAGGCAGUGGGAGAAGCAGGCUCCAUGCACCGGGAGCCCGACGUGGGAUUCGAUCCUGAAUCUUCAGGAUCACGCCCUGGGCCAAAGGCAGGCGCCAAACCGCUGCGCCACCCAGGGAUCCCCAUCAUGGCUCCUUCUGAAGAACUCCUUAGGAGAAAGCAGCAGUGUGGAAUUUCCUGGUGGCACCUGCAGUUAUGAUCCUGGCUUUGAGAAUCCAUUAAUUCCUCUCUAUCUGCUUGGAUCGAUAGCAUAGGCAACUCUGGGCACCAUGGUUUUGUGCACAGCAGAGCCAUCUUCUUACUGAAAUGUACUAUAAAAAUCUGGGACAAUGUCAACAAGGAAAGUACCACUUAAUCUCUUUAUUGUCAAUGGAAAAUUGUUGUAUUUGUUAAUAAUGUCACAUCUCCUUCAGAUAUCCUAACAUUUAUAAAGAUCUUUCCAGUGGAUGAACACAGUUUCUCACCCUAAAAUUGUGAAGCCCUGAUUCUUGCUCAAGAUGACCAAUUAGUAGCAGAGAUAGAAUUCAAACUCAGAAAAAAAAAAAAAAAAAAAAAAAAGAAUUCAAACUCAGGACUUCAUGCUCCUUUACUAUCCCCACCCCCCUUCACUUAGGGAGCAUUGUAAAGUAAUUAAAGAGUGACAUUUUUCUACAAUACUUUUAAGCUUCCACACUGUUAUUUUGCUUCUACAGAAGUAUUACAGAAAAAAAAUCUUCUGCUUUGAUGUAAGGUACGAUGGUAUGCUACUAAUGCGUGAAUGUUACGUUUCUCUAAAGAAUUGCUCUCUUUCUUACAUUGGCAAAGCAAGCCUGCAUCUCUGUGGUCCACCCUACAAAUUUGCCUCCAAAUCUCGUUUCUGAAAAGAUUCCAUAUACAAGCAGAUAUCUGGGAUCUUACAACAAAGGAUAAAAAAUAUUUUAAAAAAUGUAAAUAAUUGCCUGGAUAUCACUUUAUCCAAACCCUUCCUUAUUAGUUCUAAUGAGAAUUAUAAUAAUAGACUAUUAGUAAAAACCACUUACUGAGUGACUGUCCUGUGGCUAAGCAUGGCACUUAGCCUGGUGUCUGUCUGCUGACAUUUAAUGCUCGCAGUGACAUCAGUACUAGGUUAGCCCCAUUUUACUGAUGAAGAACUGAGGCUUACAGAGCUUAGGUAAUAUAAGUUGUACAGUAAGCAAGUGGCUGAGUGGUAUUCACAACCACACCAUUGAUUUUACUCAUGUGUCUGAGGAAGUCUCAUUUCUGGGAAAAAAAAAUGAUUUCCACAAAUUAAAAAAAAUGAACCAACCCAGAAAUGGAUUGAAGAAGCCAGGAGACCUAUGUAACAGAUUUAAGCUUUGCUUUUUGGAAGCUGGCUUCAAUGGAGACCUGUUAAUCUUGUCAAUUUCCCUAGAAAAUUAAUUUGCUUUGCAGCAAAGCCUUAGGACUGCAUGUAUUAAACAUUUCAAACAAGCUAGACCCAGUCUGCCUUUAGGCAGGCACAAAUUGUACACUUUAGAAGGAAAAAAAAACCCCAGUAAAUUAAGACAAAGCAAUGUGAAACAUUUUUCAUUUAGAGAGAAGCUAGCCACUUAAUAUAUUUUCUAGCUACAGGGUCUUGACCCUUUGAGGAUGUUGAAAGGGAAGGAAUAACAGGAUUGAUUGAGGAAAGGGAAAAACAUCAACUUUAGAAAGGUUGUGGCAGAUUAGAUGGCAUUAUGAUGCCUGUCAGGACUUCCUCCUGCCAAAAUGAGAUUCAUUAAAGAAAACUCUUCACUAAAUUAAAACUCUCCUCACCAAUCUCCUCCCCUCCAGAUGUUAACAACCCACUGUUGUUUGACAACAUGGCUGUGGAUAAUCAGUAGAAAUACUUCAUCACAUUCUAAUAGGAGGGAUGACAUGAAGCACUGGGAAAUAUCUUAUUUACUUUUAAGCCAGAAUGAUGGAAAAUAGCUGAUGGACUGAUGACUUCUUCUAUCAGAAACCCACAAGAAGAUGAUGUGAUGCUCUCAUUAUGAGGGGGGCAAUUGCUUACAAGUUCAGAUGUGGUUGCUCCUCCUCCAACAAGAUGUUGUUAUUAUUCCUUCCCUAACCAAUGAAAAGAUGCCUCAGAGAGUGGCAGUGAGAAGGAGCACUUGGCUCAGAUAGUGAAGGCCCUUUGGGGAACUGUAAUCUUUCCUAGGUUGACCACCAGGAUGGCUUGUGCUUUGGGACACAGCAAUGACUCCUCCUGCGGGCAUUUCAGUUUAUGGGAAAUGGUAGAAAACAGAACUCUCCAUGUCAAACAAAAAUAAACUUACAGUUCUGCUGGGUUGAGUGCUCUCU
rnacentral:lncRNA from 12 species